AUUGAACGCUGGCGGCAGGCUUAACACAUGCAAGUCGAGCGGGGUGAUGGUGCUUGCACUAUCACUUAGCGGCGGACGGGUGAGUAAUGCUUAGGAAUCUGCCUAUUAGUGGGGGACAACAUCUCGAAAGGGAUGCUAAUACCGCAUACGUCCUACGGGAGAAAGCAGGGGAUCACUUGUGACCUUGCGCUAAUAGAUGAGCCUAGGUCGGCUUAGCGAGUUGGUGGGGUAAAGGCCUACCAAGGCGACGAUCUGUAGCGGGUCUGAGAGGAUGAUCCGCCACACUGGGACUGAGACACGGCCCAGACUCCUACGCGAGGCAGCAGUGGGGAAUAUUGGACAAUGGGGGGAACCCUGAUCCAGCCAUGCCGCGUGUGUGAAGAAGGCCUUAUGGUUGUAAAGCACUUUAAGCGAGGAGGAGGCUCUUUUGGUUAAUACCCAAGAUGAGUGCACGUUACUCGCAGAAUAAGCACCGGCUAACUCUGUGCCAGCAGCCGCGGUAA
rnacentral:rRNA from 1 species